CCAGGGCUAAUUUUCCAUUCAAUAGCAGAAUCUACAUAGAAAAUCAGGUGUGUGGACCAGAUCUCCUCCCUCAGGCUCCUGAGCCAAGAUGACUUCCUGCUACUGGCCCACUGGAUAAGGAUCCAGUACCUGCUUGACAAACUGCAAGGCUGCCAGGACUUCCCCUCCAGCCAGCUUUGGGACAAGAUGAAACCGCCAUCUUACCUGGCAUCCCAUGCUCUAAAACUGCUUUGCCUCUGCCAAAAUUCUGAGCUAGCCAAUGAUGCUGUUGAGACCGUAAGGGAGCUAAUAAAGGAACCGAUUUGAUCAA